AUAUCGACAAUAUUCGACGAAACAAAAUUCGCGUAUAGGUUCGUUUUGACAUUCGGAUAGGUACCUAUGCAUUUUAUUAUCUACUAAUCUACUAUUCGGCUGUUAGGCGGGUACAAAACGAUAGUAAUUUUGGCGCGUGAUUGACGGGCAAACGAAAUUGGGUUACAGGAUUUGUUAUAAAUAAUAGGAAAAUGUAUAACAGCACAGCGCUGUACAGGUAUUGAUAUUAUUGAUAAUAUUAAUCCGGGAGGUUUCAAAAUUCGGAUAGUGGUUUUAAAACGCGCGGCUGACCCAUACGUAACAAUAUUGUAUUAUCGUCGUAAUGCUCAACGCUACAUAAUAACUGGUAUGUAGUACCCGUAAUAUUAUUCCGG